GAAGGAACCCAUCCUUCUCUAGGACCCAGGGGAAUUCAGUAGCCCUGGCCGCCUCCCACUCGGUUUUCCCUCCCAGCUCUCUGGGCCCCUUCCCCUGUGGUUCCCUGGGGAAUUGGAAAUACCAGAGCUGAAAUAACAGUCUGGGCACAGAGGCAAGUCUCCAUGGAGGGCAGGAAGCCCCCUAGAUCCCCCUCAGCCACCCGCCUGGCCAUCUUCUGGUUUUCCUGACUUUCUCCCCCUCUCAAGAGGCAGGCGGGGCUGCGGCCUGCUGAAUGGGUAACCUUGCCUGUUCCCACCCAGACCCCUCUGGCCCAGGACUCCGGAGCUGGUAGAGGCCCAGCUGAUCCUCAGUCCAGGAAGGAAGAGAGGGGAUCUCAUCCCAGGGCCUUCCUCAGUGAAGGGAUUGUGCAGAAACUGCCGUCUGGGGCCUGCUGAGCGGGAGAGCCCCUUCUGUCAAGAAAAGCAUGCAAAGUGUAAAGUUUGAUGAACGAUCCCAGAGUGAAGACACCCAUGGAACUACCACCUAGAUCGAGAAAUGGAACAUCACAGCAGCUGGCAACUUCCGGCAGGAAGCUCCUUGAAGUUCUGCUUAUGUCAGCACUUGGCUACAUCUAAAAUGAUUUUUCUUCAACAAGAUUUUUGAUGACUGAAUUCUAUGUUUAGAUCAUAAUUUAACUAGUAACCUCCCUUUGUUGGUUUCAUUUUACUUUUUUAGCUCUUAUAAACGAGGCUGUAAUAAGCAACCUUGCACGUAAACCUUUGUCUGCCUCUGCUAUGUAGUAGCCUCAAGUGCCUGGGUUUGGAUCCAGCCCUCCUUUGUGAGCUGCAGGACUCACUAUGCCUUAUUUCUUUCUGUCAAAUGGGAAUAACGGUAAGGACUUAAAUGAGGUGACAUAUAGGGUGUGUUUAGUACAGAGUCUGGUGCUUACAAACAAUAAGCAUCAGGCAUUAUUAGUUCCUUAGAUUCAUUUAUUAGAAGCUGGAUUUCUGGAGAAAGGGUUUGAAUAUUUCUAAGGUUUUGAAACAAGUUACUCAGCUGUCUCUAGAGUGCCCUGGCUCUUAUCGCCACUGGGUACUAUCUUCUUAAAGAGCAUUAAACAUUGGGUAGGUUAAAAACACAUCAAUGUAUUUUUUUAGUUGCAUUUCUUUGAUUACCUGUGAGAGGGAGCCUUUUUUUAAAUGUUUAUUUAUUUAAUGUUGUGUGUGUGUGUGUGUGUGUGUGAGAGAGAGAGAGAGAGACAGAGACAGAGAGAGAGAGAGAGAGAGAGAGAGAGAGAGAGAGAAUGAGUGGGGGAGGGGCAGAGAGAGGGAGACACAGAACCUGAAGCAGGCUCCAGACUCUGAGCUGUCAGCACAGAGCCCUACGUGGAGCUCAAACCCACGAACCGUGAGAUCAUGACCUGAGCUGAAAUCUAGAGUCGGAUGCUUAACUGGCUGAGCCACCCAGGCACCCUGCAUCAGCAUUUUUUAUACUUUGCUGAUGUGCCAAAGCACUUCAUUUUUAAGCUGUCAAAUUAUUAAUUUUACCUUAUGAUCCCAGACUUUAUUGUUGUGUGGUCUUUGCUUUCAAGAAUAUAUACAUUAAAAAAAAUUUUUUUUGUAAUGUUUAUUUUUGAGAGAGAGUGAGGCAGAAUGUGAGCAGGGGAGGGGCAGAGAGAGAGGGAGACGCAGAAUCCGAAGCAGGCUUCAGGCUCUGAGCUGUCAGCACAGAGCCUGACGUGGGGCUUGAACUCACAGACUAUGAGAUCAUGACCUGAGCCAAAGUCAGACGCUUAACCGACUGAGCCACCCAGGCGUCUCAUAUAUACUUUUUUUUUUUUUUUUUUUUUUUUAAGUAGGCUCCAUGCCCAGUGUGGAGCCCAGUGCUGGGGUUGAAUUCACAAUUGUGAGAUCAAAAUCUGAGCUGAGAUCAAGAGUUGGACACUUAAGCGACUGAGCCACCCAGGCACCCUCUAAACAUUCUCAAUUAAAAUUUCUUUCAUGAUGUUAUGAUUUCAUUUGUUAAGCCUUUAGUGUAUUUUGUCUUUAUGUAUGGUGAGAAGUAAGAACAUAGCUUUAAAACAACUUAAGCAACUAUCCCAAUAUGGAUCAUAAAUGAAUUAAUCAUUUUUGAGUCAUCUAAAGGCCAUUUUUAAUCAUAUGCUGAAUAUAUUUUAUGUGUUUGGGCUUUCCAUUCUGUUCCAUUGGCCUAUCAGAUCAUUCUUGCACUGGUAUUGUCCAUUGCAAUAAUUAUGACAAGUCCCCUUUAUUAUUUUUUUAAAUUAUGUUUUGCGGUUGUCAUUUAUAUGAACUCUAGAUUUUUUUUCUUUGCCAAAGUAAACAGAAACGAAACAAUCCCUCUGGGAAUUGGAAUUGGCUAAAAUGUAUAGAUUAAUUCAAUGAUGAUCAACUUCUUUGUACCAUUUGAGUGUUUUCAUCCAGAAACAUGGCGUUUCUUUUUAUUGUGAAGGUCUCUUUUAUUGUUAUUCUUCAGUGAAGUUUUAUUUUAUAGAUGAGUGUGUUUGGUGCUUCUUUUCAUGAAACAUAGAAUGUGUGUCUGUGGUUGGUGGCUCCAGAAAUGGCUCCCAAGGAUCCUUGAAAGUCCUCACGUGUAUGAUCUUCUCCCCUUGUAUGUGGGUUCCACCUAGUGACUGCCUUCUAAUGAAUAGAACAUGGCAAAAUGUGAUGAGGUGUACUUCUGUGAUUAUGUUAUAAAACACUGUGACUUUGUCUUGCUACAACUCUCUCUGGCCCUCUCACCCGCCUGCUGUGAUGAAACCACCUGCCACAUCGUGAGCCACCUUAGGGGAAGCCCAUGUGGCAAGGAACUGAGGGUGGCUUCUGACCACCAAGUAACAAGGAACUGAGGCCCUCAGUCCAACGACCCAUGAGGAAUGGAAUCCUGCCAGCAAUCACCUGAGUGCACUUCCCCAGGUGAACCUUCAGAUGAGACCACAGCACUGGCUAAAAACUUGAUUGUAGCCUCGUGAGAGACCCUGAGACCGAGAACUCAGCUAAGCCACACCCAGAUGCCUGACCCACAGAAGCUGUGAGAUAGUAAAUGUUUUUUUUUUUAUUUUAUUUUUUUUUAACAUUUAUUCAUCUUUGAGACAGAGAGAGACAGAGCAUGAGCAGGGGAGGGUCAGAGAGAGAGGGAGACACAGAAUCCGAAACAGGCUCCAGGCUCUGAGCUGUCAGCCCAGAGCCUGAUGUGGGGCUUGAACUCACAGACCGUGAGAUCAUGACCUGAGCCGAAGUCGGACGCCCAACCGACUGAGCCACCCAGGCGCCCCGAGAUAGUAAAUGUUUUAAACCACUAAGCUUCGGGGUAAUCUGUUAUGCAGCAAUGGAUAAUUAAUAUAGUAUCUUUUGUGCAUAUUUUCUUUUUAAAAAAAUAUUUAUUGGUUUAUUUUGAGAGAGAGAGAAUGUUCAUGAGUGGGGGAGGGGCAGAGAGAGCCUGAUGCAGCACUCGGCCCCAUGAACUGUGUGAUCAUGACCUGAGCCAAAAUCAAGAGUCAGAUGCUUAACUGACUGAGCCACCCAGGUGCCCCUGUGCAUAUUUUCUAACAGGUUAGUCUUUUCUAACAAGUAGAAAAGACAUUAACUUUUCUGUAGUUAUUUUAUGUCUGGCCACUCUUCUAUUCUGGUAUUUUGUAUUUCUUUUCCUAGUUUUUCCAAGAAGAUCAUCGUAUCUACAGAUAUGUAAUAAUAAUAUAAUUUUUUCCCCUGUCUAAUUGCAUUAACUAAGAUCUUUAGAACAAUGUUGAAUAACAAGACAGUAAAAAUCUUUGCCUUGUCUCCAUA